rnacentral:rRNA from 1 species
GAUGAACGCUGGCGGCGUGCCUAAUACAUGCAAGUCGAGCGAACAGACGAGGCACUUGCUCCUCUUACGUUAGCGGCGCACGGGUGAGUAACACGUGUAGAACCUACCUAUAAGACUGGGAUAACCUCGGGAAACCGGAGCUAAUACCGGAUAAAAUAUUGAAGCGCAUGGUGCAAUAGUUAAAGACGGUUUUGCAGUCACUUAUAGAUGGUUCGGGGCGGCAUUAGCUAGUUGGUAAGGUAACGGCUUACCAAGGCGACGACGCGUAGCCGACCUGAGAGGGUGAUCGGCCACACUGGAACUGAGACACGGUCCAGACUCCUACGGGAGGCAGCAGUAGGGAAUCUUGCGCAAUGGGCGAAAGCUUGACGGAGCAACGCCGCGUGAGUGAUGAAGGUCUUCGGAUCGUAAAGCUCUGUUAUUAGGGAAGAACAAAUGUGUAAGUAACUAUGCACGUAUUGACGUUACCUACUCAGAAAGCCACGGCUAACUCCGUG